rnacentral:tRNA from 1 species
GAUUAAAUGGCUGAAAUAAUAAGCAAUAAAUUGUAAAUUUAUUUAUGAGAAUUAUCUCUUUAAUCA